AACUCAUUCAUCAUUUGUUCUUCAUGUGAUCAUCAUUUUAUAUUGUUUAUGUUUCAUUGCGUACAUCACUUUAUAUGCUCCAGUUUUAGGAGUUUUAUACAGGACAGUGUAGGAACCCAUGUUACUUUCCCCUCUCCUCUGAGUGACAAAAACUGCUCAGCAAGCCGUGUGCACAACUGCUAGGAACAUUCAGCGGACACGUUUUCCAAAGGAACAAUUCGUGGCUAACCACAGCUUUUUCACCAUUUGGAUUGGUAGUGAAAUAAAAGUCAGCUCCUGAU